CCUACGGGUGGCAGCAGUGGGGAAUAUUGGACAAUGGGCGAAAGCCUGAUCCAGCCAUGCCGCGUGUGUGAAGAAGGCCUUCGGGUUGUAAAGCACUUUCAGUGGGGAAGAAAGCCUUGGGGCUAAUACCCUCGAGGAAGGACAUCACCCACAGAAGAAGCACCGACUAACUCCGUGCCAGCAGCCGCGGUAAUACGGAGGGUGCGAGCGUUAAUCGGAAUUACUGGGCGUAAAGCGCGCGUAGGCGGUCUGAUAAGCCGGUUGUGAAAGCCCCGGGCUCAACCUGGGAACGGCAUCCGGAACUGUCAGGCUAGAGUGCAGGAGAGGAAGGUAGAAUUCCCGGUGUAGCGGUGAAAUGCGUAGAGAUCGGGAGGAAUACCAGUGGCGAAGGCGGCCUUCUGGACUGACACUGACGCUGAGGUGCGAAAGCGUGGGUAGCAAACAGGAUUAGAUACCCGAGUAGUC
rnacentral:rRNA from 1 species